UGGGGAAUUUUGGACAAUGGGCGCAAGCCUGAUCCAGCAAUGCCGCGUGCAGGAAGAAGGCCUUCGGGUUGUAAACCUCUUUUGUACGGAACGAAACGGUCUGCUUUAAUACAGUGGGCUAAUGACGGUACCGUAAGAAUAAGCACCGGCUAACUACGUG
rnacentral:rRNA from 1 species